GACGAACUGUCCUAACGUUGUUCGGAAUCACUGGGCUUAAAGGGCGCGUAGGCGGUCCGACAAGUCAGGGGUGAAAUCCUGCAGCUUAACUGUAGAAGUGCCUUUGAUACUGUCGGUCUCGAGGGAGAUAGGGGUGUGCGGAACUUCCAGUGGAGCGGUGAAAUGCGUUGAUAUUGGAAGGAACGCCGGUGGCGAAAGCGGCGCACUGGAUCUCUUCUGACGCUGAGGCGCGAAAGCUAGGGGAGCAAACGGG
rnacentral:rRNA from 1 species